rnacentral:pre_miRNA from 1 species
CUUUGCCUCAUUUGUCAUGUCAUUCUCCUAAAGGUAAUGAUGACAAGUGAGACAAUGGA